rnacentral:rRNA from 1 species
UAAGUUACUAAGAGCACACGGGGGAUGCCUAGGCUCUCAAAGGCGAAGAAAGACGUGAUAAGCUGCGAUAAGGUUCGGGGAGAAGCAAAUAUUUUGUGAUCCGGACAUUUCUGAAUGGGGAAACCCGUCUGGUUGAAGACCAGUCAUCCGAAAGGAGGCAAACGCACUGAACUGAAACAUCUAAGUAGGUGCAGGAAGAGAAAACAAUAGUGAUUUCCGUAGUAGCGGCGAGCGAAGUGGAAAUAGCCCAAACCGUUUUUGUUUCGGCAAAAUCGGGGUUGUAGGACUACAAUAUCCGUAAUAAAGUAUAGUGGAACAAGUUGGAAAGCUUGGCAAUAUGAGUGAUAGCCUCGUACACGAAAUGCUUUAGAAGGUAGUAGUAUCCUGAGUAGGGCGGGACAUGUGAAAUCCUGUCUGAAUCUGCCAGAACCAUCUGGUAAGGCUAAAUACUCUUGAGAGACCGAUAGCGAACUAGUACCGUGAGGGAAAGGUGAAAAGAACCCUGAACAAGGGAGUGAAAAAGAUCCUGAAACCGUGUGUUUACAAGCGGUCGAAGCCUUAGGGCGACGGCGUGCCUUUUGCAUAAUGAUCCUACGAGUUACUCCUCAUUGGCAAGGUUAAGUCUUUAAGGGACGAAUCCGAAGCGAAAGCGAGUCUGAAUAGGGCGUUUUAGUUAGUAGUGGUAGACGCGAAACCGUGUGAUCUACCCAUGGGCAGGGUGAAGCUGUAGUAACAUACAGUGGAGGCCCGAACCGAUAUACGUUGAAAAGUGUUCGGAUGACCUGUGGGUAGGGGUGAAAGGCCAAUCAAACUCGGAAAUAGCUCGUACUCCCCGAAAUGCAUUUAGGUGCAGCGUUGAUUUAUAGUUUUAUAGAGGUAGAGCUACUGAUUGGAUGCGGGGGCUUCACCGCCUACCAAUUCCUGACAAACUCCGAAUGCUAUAAAAUGUUAAUCAGCAGUGAGGGCAUGGGUGCUAAGGUCCAUGUCCGAGAGGGAAAGAACCCAGACCUUCAGCUAAGGUCCCAAAAUCUAUACUAAGUUGAACUAAGGCGGUCCAGUUGCAUAGACAGCCAGGAUGUUGGCUUGGAAGCAGCCAUUCAUUUAAAGAGUGCGUAACAGCUCACUAGUCGAGCGAUCGUGCGUGGAUAAUAAUCGGGCAUUAAACAUACUGCCGAAGCUAUGACAUCGAAAGAUGGGUAGGGGAGCAUUCUAUAUGCGUUGAAUGUGAGGGGUGACCUUCGCUGGAGCGUAUAGAAAAGCAAAUGUAGGAAUAAGUAACGAUAAAGCAGGCGAGAAACCUGCUCACCAAUAGACUAAGGUUUCCUUGGCGACGCUAAUCGUCCAAGGGUUAGUCGGGACCUAACGCGAACCCGAGAGGGGUAGUGGAUGGAUAAUGGGUUAAUAUUCCCAUACUUGGUAUAACUGCGAUGGGGUGACGGAGUGAUGAAAGAACCGCGUACUGACGGAAUAGUACGUUGAAGCGAGUAGUAAUACCGCGAUAGUACACUGCGACUACGGUCAAGGUGAUAAUCUAGCAAAUCGACUUCCAAGAAAAGCGAAUGAAGCAGCCCGUACCCUAAACCGACACAGGUAGUUGGGAUGAGAAUUCUAAGGAGCUCGAG